rnacentral:lncRNA from 1 species
AGCUAAAGAGAAGAAGGUAGAUGAACCUUCGACUAGCAAAGGAAAGGGGAAAAUGUACAAGUUAUGAAGACUUAUAAUUUUGAUUUUGAUUAUGAUGUUAGACUUUUAUUAUGAUGAUCUUAGAUUUUAUUUUAAAUGAUGAAAUGUUAUAAUUUUAAUUCCGCAUUUGAAUGACGUUUAAAGGUUAGAUAACCUGGGAUGUUUUUGAUGAACUUAAUGAUGUAACCCUAUUUACGGGGAGGUUUUAUGAUUCAAAUAUUGUUUUAUUUGGGUAGAUAGUAUGAA